rnacentral:rRNA from 1 species
AUUGAACGCUGGCGGCAGGCCUAACACAUGCAAGUCGAACGAGUGGCGGACGGGUGAGUAAUGUCUGGGAAACUGCCUGAUGGAGGGGGAUAACUACUGGAAACGGUAGCUAAUACCGCAUACCAUCAGAUGUGCCCAGAUGGGAUUAGCUAGUGGGUGGGGUAACGGCUCACCAAGGCGACGAUCCCUAGAUGGUCUGAGAGGAUGACCAGCCAAACUGGAACUGAGCCAAGGCCCAGACUCUUACGGGAGGCAGCAGGGGGGAAUAUUGCACAAUGGGCGCAAGCCUGCUGAAGCCAUGCCGCGUGGAUGAAGAAGGUCUUCGGGUGGUAAAGUACUUUCAGCGGGGAGGCGGUACCUGCAGAAGAAGCACCGGCUAACUCCGUGCCAGCCGCCGCGGUAAUUC